rnacentral:rRNA from 1 species
GUAGGGAAUAUUGGGCAAUGGAUGCAAGUCUGACCCAGCCAUCCCGCGUGCCGGAAGAAGGCCCUCAGGGUUGUAAACGGCUUUUGACGGUGAAGAACCGACAGGAUGCGUCCUGUUUUGACGGUAGCCGUUGAAUAAGCACCGGCUAACUCCGUGCCAGCAGACGCGGUAAUACGGAGGGUGCGAGCGUUGUCCGGAUUUAUUGGGUUUAAAGGGUGCGUAGGCUGGAAGGUCAGUCAGCGGUGAAAAGCUAUCGCUUAACGAUAGUCUUGCCGCAGAUACUUCCUUUCUUGGAUGAGGAGGAGGCCACUGGAACGGAUGGUGUAGCGGUGAAAUGCAUAGAUAUCAUCCAGAACACCGAUUGCGAAGGCAGGUGGCUGUACCUUAAUCGACGCUGAUGCACGAAAGCAUGGGGAGCAAACAGGAUUAGAAACCCGUGUAGUCC